CAGUAGCCGCGGGAAUACGGAGGGUGCAAGCGUUACUCGGAAUCACUGGGCGUAAAGGACGCGUAGGCGGAUUAUCAAGUCUCUUGUGAAAUCUAACGGUUUAACCGUUAAACUGCUUGGGAAACUGAUAAUCUAGAGUAAGGGAGAGGCAGAUGGAAUUCUUGGUGUAGGGGUGAAAUCCGUAGAUAUCAAGAAGAAUACCUAUUGCGAAGGCGAUCUGCUGGAACUUAACUGACGCUGAGAGACGAAAGCGUGGGGAGCGAACAGGAUUAGAUACCCCAGUAGUCCCUGUCUCUUAUAC
rnacentral:rRNA from 1 species